rnacentral:rRNA from 1 species
CAACCCUUAUGUGACCAUACCUAUCGUUGCUUCGGCGGAGACGCCCCGGCUCUCCGAGCCCGGACCCAGGCGCCCGCCGGAGACCACAAACUCUUGUAUUUGUUUCAGUAUUUUCUCUGAGUGGCAAACGCAAAAAAUAAAUCAAAACUUUUAACAACGGAUCUCUUGGCUCUGGCAUCGAUGAAGAACGCAGCGAAAUGCGAUAAGUAAUGUGAAUUGCAGAAUUCAGUGAAUCAUCGAAUCUUUGAACGCACAUUGCGCCCGUUAGCAUUCUAGCGGGCAUGCCUGUCCGAGCGUCAUUUCAACCCUCAGGGUCCCCGUUUCGGCGGGGAACCUGGUGUUGGGGAUCGGCCCGCCCCGCGCGGCGCCGUCCCCCAAAUCUAGUGGCGGUCUCGCUGCAGCCUCCCCUGCGUAGUAGUUUACAACCUCGCACCGGAGCGCGGCGCGGCCACGCCGUAAAACCCCCGACUUUCUGAACGUUGACCUCGGAUCAGGUAGGAAUACCCGCUGAACUUAAGCAUAUCAAUAAGCGGAGGA